rnacentral:rRNA from 1 species
CGCCCUUAGAGUUUGAUCCUGGCUCAGAUUGAACGCUGGCGGCAGGCCUAACACAUGCAAGUCGAACGGUAAGAGAGCUUGCUCUUGACGAGUGGCGGACGGGUGAGUAAUGUCUGGGAAACUGCCCGAUGGAGGGGGAUAACUACUGGAAACGGUAGCUAAUACCGCAUAACGUCUUCGGACCAAAGUGGUUCGUCACACCAUCGGAUGUGCCCAGAUGGGAUUAGCUAGUAGGUGGGGUAAAGGCUCACCUAGGCGACGAUCUCUAGCUGGUCUGAGAGGAUGACCAGCCACACUGGAACUGAGACACGGUCCAGACUCCUACGGGAGGCAGCAGUGGGGAAUAUUGCACAAUGGGCGCAAGCCUGAUGCACCAUGCCGCGUGUAUGAAGAAGGCCUUGGGGUUGUAAAGUACUUU